rnacentral:rRNA from 1 species
GACGAACGCUGGUGGCGUGCUUAACACAUGCAAGUCGAACGGGAUUUAGUAAACAGAAGCCUCGGUGGAAGAUUACUAAUGAGAGUGGCGAACGGGUGAGUAACGCGUGAACAACCUGCCUAUGACAGUGGGAUAGCCUCGGGAAACCGGGAUUAAUACCGCAUAAAAUCGUAGAAACACAUGUUUUAACGGUCAAAGAUUUAUCGGUCAUAGAUGGGCUCGCGUCUGAUUAGCUAGUUGGUGAGAUAACAGCCCACCAAGGCGACGAUCAGUAGCCGGUCUGAGAGGAUGAACGGCCACAUUGGAACUGAGACACGGUCCAAACUCCUACGGGAGGCAGCAGUGGGGAAUAUUGCACAAUGGGGGAAACCCUGAUGCAGCGACGCCGCGUGAACGAAGGAGGUAUUCGUAUCGUAAAGUUCUGUCCUAUGGGAAGAUAAUGACAGUACCAUAGAAGAAAGCUCCGGCUAAAUACGUG